rnacentral:rRNA from 1 species
GACGAACGCUGGCGGCGUGCUUAACACAUGCAAGUCGAGCGGAAAGGCCCUUCGGGGUACUCGAGCGGCGAACGGGUGAGUAACACGUGAGUAACCUGCCCCAGACUUUGGGAUAACCCUCGGAAACGGGGGCUAAUACCGGAUACGACACAGCUUCGCAUGGGGUCUGUGUGGAAAGUUUUUCGGUUUGGGAUGAGCUCGCGGCCUAUCAGCUUGUUGGUGGGGUGAUGGCCUACCAAGGCGACGACGGGUAGCCGGCCUGAGAGGGCGACCGGCCACACUGGGACUGAGACACGGCCCAGACUCCUACGGGAGGCAGCAGUGGGGAAUAUUGCACAAUGGGCGGAAGCCUGAUGCAGCGACGCCGCGUGAGGGAUGACGGCCUUCGGGUUGUAAACCUCUUUCAGCAGGGACGAAGCGUAAGUGACGGUACCUGCAGAAGAAGCGCCGGCCAACUACGUG